CACGGUGAAAGACGAGUUCCCGUGCGAUCACCAAAGUUAAGCAAUGUCGAGCCUGGCCAGUACCUAUAUGGGUGACCGCUUGGUAAUACCAAGUGCUGUAAG